rnacentral:rRNA from 1 species
CAAGUCGAACGGCAGCGCGGGCUUCGGCCUGGCGGCGAGUGGCGAACGGGUGAGUAAUAUAUCGGAACGUACCCAAGAGUGGGGGAUAACGUAGCGAAAGUUACGCUAAUACCGCAUACGAUCUAAGGAUGAAAGCAGGGGAUCGCAAGACCUUGUGCUCCUGGAGCGGCCGAUAUCUGAUUAGCUAGUUGGUGGGGUAAAGGCCCACCAAGGCAACGAUCAGUAGCUGGUCUGAGAGGACGACCAGCCACACUGGAACUGAGACACGGUCCAGACUCCUACGGGAGGCAGCAGUGGGGAAUUUUGGACAAUGGGGGCAACCCUGAUCCAGCAAUGCCGCGUGAGUGAAGAAGGCCUUCGGGUUGUAAAGCUCUUUUGUCAGGGAAGAAAAGGUCGUGGCUAAUAUCCACGACUGCUGACGGUACCUGAAGAAUAAGCACCGGCUAACUACGUGCCAGCAGCCGCGGUAAUACGUAGGGUGCAAGCGUUAAUCGGAAUUACUGGGCGUAAAGCGUGCGCAGGCGGUUUCGUAAGUCUGUCGUGAAAUCCCCGGGCUUAACCUGGGAAUGGCGAUGGAGACUGCGAGGCUAGAGUUUGGCAGAGGGGGGUAGAAUUCCACGUGUAGCAGUGAAAUGCGUAGAGAUGUGGAGGAACACCGAUGGCGAAGGCAGCCCCCUGGGUCAAAACUGACGCUCAUGCACGAAAGCGUGGGGAGCAAACAGGAUUAGAUACCCUGGUAGUCCACGCCCUAAACGAUGUCUACUAGUUGUUGGGUCUUAAUUGACUUAGUAACGCACCUAACGC